CAUGAGAAAGGAAAAUGUCCCAGAUUCCAUUCAAUAGGAUGGUAACAAUUCCAGUUGAUAUUUCCAGCAAGGAAAAUGUAUCAAAUUCAUUUUUGUUUUUUGGGGAGGUGGUCAUGGUGUUUCUAAUCUUUAUUUUGAGGGUUUUGUACCCUUCCCUCACCUACCUCCAUAUUCUUAAAUUUUUUCAUUCUUUUUAUCUUUAAUUGAAGGAGAGAGAGAGAGGAGAAAGAUAAUGGGGAAAAAAAAAAUAGACCAAGAAAGAAAGGAGGAAAGACAGAUAGAUUGGAGAGAGAGAGAGAGAGACAUAUGUAUGUUGUUGUUGUUUAGCCACAGGUCAGCUUUGACCGAGCAGACCUACAAUCAAAAGUAUUUCAGCUAGGGAUACACUUAUUCAAAACUGUGUAGCCAAGACAACAUUAUCCAAUGUGUUCUUCCUUAAUAAGAUUGUAGGGUGCAAUUUAGCAGUUACUUCUAGCAAGUCAAGUGACCACAUUCAUACCCACCUUAUUUAAGAUAUAUAUAUACAUAUUUAUAUAAGAGGGAGUAGACAGGGGAGGAUAGUAAUGAGAAAGAUAGGUAAUAUCAAAUAUGUAUGUGUAUAUAUAUAUAUAUAUAUAUAUAUAUUAUAUAUACAUAUAUAUAUAUAUAUUAUAUAUACACACAUACAUACAUACAUAUCCCACACAUGCACUUUAGUAAUCAAACCUGUAUAAAGCCAUUUUCAAUUCAAAUAAUAACUAUUAUACAAAAAGCUUGUGUGUGUGUGUGUGUUGUGUGUGUGUGUGUGUUUGUGUGUGUGUGUGAGGGAGAAGGGGAAAGAAGAAACUGAAUGUGACAAA